CAGGUACCGGUUCACGCCCGCCGACGGCGGGAUGCGGCGUGGCGACCCGGCGACC
ncrna:unclassified sequences L31-Actinobacteria ribosomal protein leader